UACGGGGGGGGUAAGCGUUGUUCGGAAUUACUGGGCGUAAAGGGCUCGUAGGUGGCCAACUAAGUCAGACGUGAAAUCCCUCAGCUUGACUGGGGAACUGCGUGUGAUACUGGAUGGCUUGGAUUUGGGAGAGGGAUGCGGAAUUCCAGGUGUAGCGGUGAAAUGCGUAGAUAUCUGGAGGAACACCGGUGGCGAAGGCGGCAUCCUGGACCAAUAUUGACGCUGAGGAGCGAAAGCCAGGGGAGCAAACGGG
rnacentral:rRNA from 1 species